rnacentral:misc_RNA from 1 species
GAGAAGAACGUAGCGAAAUGCGAUAAGUAGUGUGAAUUGCAGAAUUCAGUGAAUCAUCGAAUCUUUGAACGCACAUUGCGCCCCUUGGUAUUCCAUGGGGCAUGCCUGUUCGAGCGUCAUUUGUACCUUCAAGCUCUGCUUGGUGUUGGGUGUUUGUCUCGCCUCUGCGUGUAGACUCGCCUCAAAACAAUUGGCAGCCGGCGUAUUGAUUUCGGAGCGCAGUACAUCUCGCGCUUUGCACUCAUAACGACGACGUCCAAAAGUACAUUUUUACACUCUUGACCUCGGAUCAGGUAGGGAUACCCGCUGAACUUAAGCAUAUCAAUAAGCGGAGGA